CUGGCCUGGCUACAUGGUGGCAGCGGAAACCAGCCGAAAUGUCGAUGGUGUCCGCGCUACUACCGCCCCCGAAGCCUAUGCAUCCGUCGCACGACCCUUGGAUUGCCUGAAAAACUUGGAAAAGUGAGUUUCUGCUUUUUUCCACUGCUACGCAAUUGAACAAGCAGCCAAAGACGUUCAAGCAGCCACGUUGCUAGUUACCAUCGGCGAAGAGGCUAGGAAGUCGUACAGUACCUUCAAGUUCAAUGAAGCGGAAGACAGGAAUGACGUUGAAGUUCUGAUUAAGAAAUUUGAGGAUCAUUACAAGCCUGCAACGAACUUAACAUUCCGAAAAUUUCGUUUUGGUUCAAGAAACCAAAAAGAAGGUGAGACGUUUAACAAGUGGCUAACAGAACUGCGUGGGUUAGCGAAGAAUUGUGAAUUUCGGGACCUUGAAGACCACACGUUGCGUAGCAGAAUCAUUUUCGGCACUCGGGAUAAGAGCCUACAGCAAAGACUGAUCGCGGAAAACCCGACAUACCAAAAGACAGUCGACAUUUGCCGCACGCAAGAACAAGGCAAAGAGGACUUUCGUGAGAUAAGUGAAGCUACGGGCGCCAGUGAAGGCACCAUAGUAAACGCGGUAGCAACAAGAAAAAACGUUUGCUACAAAUGUGGGGGUCAAAUGCAUCGCAGUGACACGUGCCCAGCAAAAAAAAAACAUGCCGGAAGUGCGGAAGGCUGAACCAUUUCGCUCGAGCAUGCAAGCCGUCGAACUUUCCGCGCAGUGCCAACCAACAAAUGCGACAGUUACGAGCCGGAGACGACGAAUUUUUUUUUUUUUGCAAACGUUGACUAUUGGUGCGAUAACCACCGAUCACUGGAGCGCAACGGUCUACAAUGAGGGCCAUGCCAUCAUGUGCAAGCUAGACACAGGCGCCAAUUGUUGUGAUUUCAAGAAACGACGUUGCAAAGCUGCCAAAAAAAGCCUCAACAAGCCUGCAAUGUCAAGCUCACAGCAUUCUUUGGCCACACAACAGCCGUGCAUGCGAAAGUCCAAUUGAUACUUUCAGCAAAUGGCAGAACCAAAAAACAAACUUUUUUUAUUGUCCAACAAGACGUCCCUGCCACUUUGAGUGGUGCAGCAGCUUAAAGUCUCGGCUUCAUAUACCGGAUGCAAAACAUACAGCAUGAACUAUACCCGCCAGCGCAGCCUUUUGCAGAGGUCUUCGAGGGACUCGGGCAGCUGAAAGAUUUUGAGUACGACAUGAAGCUCAAGCCAGACUCGGUGGGCGUCGUCGUUCCAGCAAGAAGAGUUCCUGUUGCUCUUCAGGACAACGUCACGGCUGAGCUACAGCGUAUGGAAGCACAAGGUGUCAUAACAAAGACCGAAGUCCGCUACCUAGGGCACAUCCUUAGCACAGAAGGCCUCCGCCUGGAACCUGGUCGAGUGAACGACGUACUGAAAAUAAAAGAACCAAAGAACAAUCCACGAACUCCGUCAAAGCACUACUAGCGCUCUGGCGUCAUGGUGCGCAGAGCUCCACACAUGGCUUACCGCUUAAGCUCUGCAGUCACAACGGACCACCGUUCACCAGCCGGCUUUUCAAACAUUUCCUGCAGCAGCUAGGCGUUGCCCAUGUUACGUCAAGUCCGUAUCAUCCCCGCUCUAUGGUAUGACGGAAAGAGCAGUACAAGAGGCCAAAAAGCUUCUAGAGAAAUGUUCACAUAACCGAGUUGACUUUCAUAUGGCGUUGCUCGAAUGGCGCAACACCCCAAGAGAUAUUAUAAAGUCGCCUGUGCAGAGACUCAUGGGACGGCAAACCAGGACCUUGCUGCCUGUGCCCACCAGCCACCUAGUACCACAGGCAGUAUCAAGUAACGCCGUCCACAGCUGGCUUCAGGAGAUCCGUCAACGCCAGGUCUAUUAUAACCGCGGAACGAGGCACCUACCACCCCUCUCUCCAGGUCAGGCAGUCACUACAUACGACACCCUCCAGCGAACCUGGUCGCCUGCUAUUCUAUUGAGGCCAGCCAACAGGUCAGCGAUCCUGAGAACGGAAGAUGGUCGAGAAAUCAGACGCACAAGAAAACCCCUGCGGGACAUUCCGAUCCAUCGCGAAGAUAGUCCAGCAGAGGCUCCCGGAGAAGGUUCCAAAGAAGACCACUCGUCCCAAGAUCUACGGAGAAGCACGAGGACUCGCCACAAGCCCUGUCGAUACCCGCAGCCUGAAAGGCAUCCUUAAUUUGUCUUCCAGUAAAGGGGAGAUGUAGCGCGGCUGAAUUUGCAGUCGUCACGGCACACCAGUAAUCCUGUGAUCUGUUACGUCACGUAGGCUUCACUAUAUAUGUAACUUGCGCAGCCGCAAUAAAGUUGU